rnacentral:rRNA from 1 species
GUCGGGUGUGAAAUCUCGGAGCUUAACUCCGAAACUGCAUUCGAUACUGCCGUGCUUGAGGACUGGAGAGGAGACUGGAAUUUACGGUGUAGCGGUGAAAUGCGUAGAUAUCGUAAGGAAGACCAGUGGCGAAGGCGGCUCACUGGCCCGGUACUGACGCUGAGGCACGAAAGCGUGGGGAGCAAACAGG